rnacentral:lncRNA from 1 species
GAAAAUACAUAUUUAUGUCUCAGAAUGUCUACAGAUAAAACCCACUAGAAAAGGAGUAUGUCCGAGGAAACUAAUUUUGCUAAUACCUAUCAAUCCUUUGAAACGCCCAUAGAAGUAAGUAGGUGGAAGGAGAUGGUGGUGUACCAGAAUGUUCACGUAGUUCUAAAAGAACUUUAGGGGAAAUCCUGUGUUGAAACCAUUUUCUAACACAUUGUUAUCAGCAGCCCCCAGACUUAGGGGUCCUCAGUCGCCAGCUCAGCGAACCGCGAGCGCUCGUGGGCAGCUGGGACCGCUCGCAGUGGCUUGGAGCAAGGUUCUCUCGGCCUUCCGCGACCGCACAAGAGUGGCCCUCGGCCCUCGCCGUACUCGGACUCUACCAACGCCGGCGCAGGAGGGGUGUUUUGUGGUCGCGGAAGAGGAAUCGAGGCUGUGCCAGGAAAGCGGGGCCUCGGAGGACGGUUGUUUCAUCGCUCGCGUGGCUCGCCCGCCCUUCUCCCCUGUCCGCUCCCCACUGCGCCGUUCCAUCCGGGAGCUCUCCCGUGUUCCCGCGACGGCAGGUGAGCGCCCUGGCCCCGGCCCCGGGCCUGCCCCGCUCCUCGGCCGUGGUGGCGGCCAGCGGGAGGCGCCUGCGCGCAGUAAUGGCAGCGCGGUGAGCAGGGACGGAGCUGACAGCCGCCGCCGCCCACCCUCCUCGCCGGGCACCGUCCUGCGCGCCCUCGGACUGUCUCCCUCCCUGCUCCCUGCCCCGCGUCCCGCCUCUGCAGCAGGUAACCCGCUGAAGGCCCGGAGCCAGCUGCGGGCUCCGGGAAACUUCCUCUCCCGACAGCGAAGAUUGAUAGCUCUGGGGAGGAGUGCCCUGCGUGCAUGCUAGACCUGUCUCAACCCUUGGGGUCUGGUGAAAUAAGAUCCUUAGACUCUUAAGGGCACUUAGUUACACACCAGGAGUCUGGACCAUUCCUACCACCCUGCAAAUACGUGCAUGUACAGAAAACAUUUGUGAGUUGCAGACUGUUUUGUCGUUAAAUCCUCUCCUUUCUAACACAUUGUUAUC